CCGUUUCCACCUGAGUCGGGCUGAUAAAAUGGAUGUGGGUAUCCAGACCCCCGGCAGUCACAAUCAGACCUUCCCCGGCGAUCACCUCUGUUCCGGCACCGAUGAUCAGGUUCGGAUCCACACCGGCCAUGAUGGCAGGAUUGCCGGCUUUCCCGAUGCCGCAGAUCUUCCCGUCCUUUAUCCCGAUGUCCGCUUUUACGAUUCCCCAGUAGUCCACGAUCACGGCACUCGUGAUCACCGUAUCCGGGCACCGGCUGUCAGGUACCGUACAGGACUGCCCCAUGCCGUCGCGG
rfam:Lachnoclostridium sp. An169 An169_contig_12, whole genome shotgun sequence.